rnacentral:rRNA from 1 species
UACGGAGGAUGCAAGCGUUAUCCGGAUUCAUUGGGUUUAAAGGGUGCGUAGGCGGAAUAGUAAGUCAGUGGUGAAAGCCUGCGGCUUAACCGUAGAAUUGCCAUUGAUACUGCUGUUCUUGAGUAUAGUUGAGGUGGGCGGAAUGUGUAAUGUAGCGGUGAAAUGCUUAGAUAUUACACAGAACACCAAUUGCGAAGGCAGCUCACUAAGCUGUUACUGACGCUGAGGCACGAAAGCGUGGGGAGCAAACAGG